UUUCUGAUGGUGGAGCUAGCAGCUGCUCCUGAGGUUUUCCAGCGGGGUUAGGACUAAAUUCGUGAAAUCUUGGUUUGCUAUCCUUACUACUCGCAUUAAUGGUGAUGUGUUAGCAGACCUAGUCCGUCAAAGGAGUUGGGAAAUAAAUGAAGGCCAUAAUUCUUCCAACUACUCAACAACUUCCAAGUUUCCUAUAAAUUCCAAAAUGCUUCUCAUUCAUUUUCAUCAAACUUUGACCAAGUUUUCAUCACUUUUCCAAGCUUUCAAGUGUUCUUUCUCAGCAUAUUUAGUCCUUGUGUAAUUCCAAGUGUUAUUUACCCUGU